UUGAGUAUUAAAUAAUUCAAUAUUUUUAUUUUCUCUCUCUUCCAGAUUAUAGGACUACAGAAUGAACUAAUUAGGCAUGGAGUCUUAAAGAACCAACAGGACUGUGAAGACUUUUGGAAACUGAUUCCCCAGAGCUGUCACAGUUCACAGCUCAAAGAAAAACUUGAGGACAUAAAAUCAAAAAUGAUUGCUUCCAAAAGUUUGCCUCCCUGCACCCAUGUCAGAAUGAGUACAGCACAGCCAACUGAUGUUUUUCUAAGCCAAAGAUGUGAGAAGCUGAAAAAAAGCUCAGCCAAUAUGUCAGGAUCAGUGUGCUGCCAACCUCCACUUCAUCAUCCCAGUAAGCACACGAAGUCCCAAAAAGAAACUGAGCAAAUAUUUUCUAAGUACAGAAUUUCUAAAAGGAGUAAGAAAUGUUUCCAACAUAAAAAGCAUCUUUUUUACUUGCACCAUAUGUAUCAUCUUGCCUGUCUUAAUAUGGCAUCAUCUAAGAGGUCAGUUACUGUCAUCAUAUAUUCUUUUUAACUUAUUUGAAGACAUUUUCAGGUCUCUUGAGUUUCAUCUGAGAUAACAGAUAGUUCCAUUGUUUAACAGAUUUCUGCUGAAUUUUAGAAGACAUUGUUAUACUGACAUUUGUUUUACAGGUACAGGCAUUUAUUUUGGC
rnacentral:lncRNA from 1 species